CGUGUAGGCGGCCUGUUAAGUCUGAUGUGAAAGCCCUGGGCUCAACCCAGGAAGUGCAUUGGAAACUGGCAGGCUUGAGUACGGGAGAGGGAAGUGGAAUUCCGCGUGUAGGAGUGAAAUCCGUAGAUAUGCGGAGGAACACCAGUGGCGAAGGCGGCUUCCUGGACCGAUACUGACGCUGAGACGCGAAAGCGUGGGGAGCAAACA
rnacentral:rRNA from 1 species